GGACUGCAUUUGAAACUGGUCUGCUAGAGUACCGGAGAGGUAAGCGGAAUUCCUAGUGUAGCGGUGAAAUGCGUAGAUAUUAGGAGGAACACCAGUGGCGAAGGCGGCUUACUGGACGGUAACUGACGUUGAGGCUCGAAAGCGUGGGGAGCAAA
rnacentral:rRNA from 1 species